UACGUAGGGUGCAAGCGUUGUCCGGAAUUAUUGGGCGUAAAGAGCUCGUAGGCGGUUUGUCGCGUCUGCUGUGAAAACUCAGGGCUUAACCCUGAGCCUGCAGUGGGUACGGGCAGACUAGAGUGUGGUAGGGGAGAUCGGAAUUCCUGGUGUAGCGGUGGAAUGCGCAGAUAUCAGGAGGAACACCGGUGGCGAAGGCGGUUCUCUGGGCCUUACCUGACGCUGAGGAGCGAAAGCGUGGGGAGCGAACAGG
rnacentral:rRNA from 1 species